AGUGAACGCUGGCGGUAGGCCUAACACAUGCAAGUCGAACGGCAGCACAGUAAGAGCUUGCUCUUACGGGUGGCGAGUGGCGGACGGGUGAGGAAUACAUCGGAAUCUACUUUUUCGUGGGGGACAACGUAGGGAAACUUACGCUAAUACCGCAUACGACCUACGGGUGAAAGCAGGGGAUCUUCGGACCUUGCGCGAUUGAAUGAGCCGAUGUCGGAUUAGCUAGUUGGCGGGGUAAAGGCCCACCAAGGCGACGAUCCGUAGCUGGUCUGAGAGGAUGAUCAGCCACACUGGAACUGAGACACGGUCCAGACUCCUACGGGAGGCAGCAGUGGGGAAUAUUGGACAAUGGGCGCAAGCCUGAUCCAGCCAUACCGCGUGGGUGAAGAAGGCCUUCGGGCUGUAAAGCCCUUUUGUUGGGAAAGAAAAGCAGCAGGUUAAUACCCCGCUGUUCUGACGGUACCCAAAGAAUAAGCACCGGCUAACUUCGUG
rnacentral:rRNA from 1 species